rnacentral:rRNA from 1 species
AUGAACGCUGGCGGCGUGCCUAAUACAUGCAAGUCGAGCGAACAGACGAGGAGCUUGCUCCUCUGACGUUAGCGGCGGACGGGUGAGUAACACGUGGAUAACCUACCUAUAAGACUGGGAUAACUUCGGGAAACCGGAGCUAAUACCGGAUAAUAUAUUGAACCGCAUGGUUCAAUAGUGAAAGACGGUUUUGCUGUCACUUAUAGAUGGAUCCGCGCCGCAUUAGCUAGUUGGUAAGGUAACGGCUUACCAAGGCAACGAUGCGUAGCCGACCUGAGAGGGUGAUCGGCCACACUGGAACUGAGACACGGUCCAGACUCCUACGGGAGGCAGCAGUAGGGAAUCUUCCGCAAUGGGCGAAAGCCCGACGGAGCAACGCCGCGUGAGUGAUGAAGGUCUUCGGAUCGUAAAACUCUGUUAUUAGGGAAGAACAAAUGUGUAAGUAACUAUGCACGUCUUGACGGUACCUAAUCAGAAAGCCACGGCUAACUACGUG